rnacentral:rRNA from 1 species
AAAAUGGUGCCGUAACUUCGGGAGAAGGCACGCUGAUAUGUAGGUGAAGCGACUUGCUCGUGGAGCUGAAAUCAGUCGAAGAUACCAGCUGGCUGCAACUGUUUAUUAAAAACACAGCACUGUGCAAACACGAAAGUGGACGUAUACGGUGUGACGCCUGCCCGGUGCCGGAAGGUUAAUUGAUGGGGUUAGCGCAAGCGAAGCUCUUGAUCGAAGCCCCGGUAAACGGCGGCCGUAACAAUAACGGUCCUAAGGUAGCGAAAUUCCUUGUCGGGUAAGUUCCGACCUGCACGAAUGGCGUAAUGAUGGCCAGGCUGUCUCCACCCGAGACUCAGUGAAAUUGAACUCGCUGUGAAGAUGCAGUGUACCCGCGGCAAGACGGAAAGACCCCGUGAACCUUUACUAUAGCUUGACACUGAACAUUGAGCCUUGAUGUGUAGGAUAGGUGGGAGGCUUAGAAGUGUGGACGCCAGUCUGCAUGGAGCCGACCUUGAAAUACCACCCUUUAAUGUUUGAUGUUCUAACGUUGACCCGUAAUCCGGGUUGCGGACAGUGUCUGGUGGGUAGUUUGACUGGGGCGGUCU